UGCCAGCCGCCGCGGUAAUACAGAGGGUGCGAGCGUUAAUCGGAAUUACUGGGCGUAAAGGGUGCGUAGGUGGUUAUGCAAGUCAGAUGUGAAAGCCCAGGGCUCAACCUUGGAAUUGCAUUUGAAACUGCAUGACUAGAGUACGGUAGAGGGAAGUGGAAUUUCCGGUGUAGCGGUGAAAUGCGUAGAUAUCGGAAGGAACACCAGUGGCGAAGGCGACUUUCUGGCCUAUUCUUGACGCUGAGGCGCGAAAGCUAGGGGAGCGAACAGGAUUAGAUA
rnacentral:rRNA from 1 species